UGGGGAAUAUUGGACAAUGUGCGGAAGCCUGAUCCAGCCAUGCCGCGUGUGUGAAGAAGGCCUUUUGGUUGUAAAGCACUUUAAGCGAGGAGGAGGCUACUUGGAUUAAUACUCUAGGAUAGUGGACGUUACUCGCAGAAUAAGCACCGGCUAACUCUGUGCCAGCAGCCGCGGUAAUACAGAGGGUGCGAGCGUUAAUCGGAUUUACUGGGCGUAAAGCGUGCGUAGGCGGCUUCUUAAGUCGGAUGUGAAAUCCCUGAGCUUAACUUAGGAAUUGCAUUCGAUACUGGGAAGCUAGAGUAUGGGAGAGGAUGGUAGAAUUCCAGGGGUAGCGGUGAAAUGCGUAGAGAUCUGGAGGAAUACCGAUGGCGAAGGCAGCCAUCUGGCCUAAUACUGACGCUGAGGUACGAAAGCAUGGGGAGCAAACAGG
rnacentral:rRNA from 1 species